GCACUGAAAGUGAGAGUUGGAUGAAAACAAACUGACUGAUCAUGACAACUCCAGCAGAUCAUUGAUCGGCUUGUUUUCCUCCAAUAUCUCACCUUCAGUAG
rnacentral:pre_miRNA from 1 species